UUUCUCAUUAUGAAGUUCCAUUUUUUAUUUAUAUAUAUUUUUGUAUGCAUGGGCAGUUGGGGCACCAGUAUAUAGGUCAAGUAGGACUGUUAGGACUGUUAGCAGACCCAGUGUUCCAGCAGACAGAUGCAAGCCACAGCAGUGCCGACCGAGGUUCUUUAGGAAGUUAGCCGAAGCCGUCAGUGAACGUCUUGGAUGAUGAAGCACUCCUGAGUGCCAACCUGAUCAGAUGGCAGUGCCAAUCCGAGGGUGCCCUGUUAGUAUGGAUUUUUCCUGUUGGAGAUCCCAAGUGACAGCAUGAGUCCAGCGUACACAGCCAUUGGUUCCUCCAUAGUCCUGACUGAUCCUGUGCCCUGGCGUAAGAAUCAACGAGGAAGGAUCUGAAUCUUUCCCUGCCAAGACAGCCCUGAAGAACUCCUGCAGUGUCAGGGCGGCAAUCUCCAAGAAGCAGUCUGGGACCUGCAGCCCCAAAGACACCCCCCAAGAAAAGGAAGAAAUGAGGCACCAUAGAGAGCCCAUUGACUGGUGUUGCCCUGCUGCCCCGCUGCCCUGGGUUCUGCAGCCCAAGACUACCCUGUUCCCUAGUGAAACACCAUCCAGAGAGCAGUCUUGGGUAUUAGAGUCUUCCAGGACUUGUCGGUUCUACCAGCUGGGUAUGUUUUAAUGAGUGUGGGAAAUGAGAGGGUUGAGCUUUCUUUUCCUUAGACCUGUUGUGAGAAAGGCUGUCCUCAACCUUACGACUGCCAUCUGCCAAUGGGACCCAGUGCAUGUCUUACCUCAAAGUCAUUCCCCUUGUUAUAGUGUGUAUUGAGAACUCGAAAAAGCUCCGAGUCUCGGAGGACAGCCAGCGCUUGGGCGUUCGUGAUACCGUCUGAAAGAGCUUGCCGGGCAUACUUUUCCAUCUGGAUGUAAUAAAAUUCACGGAAGUUGCUGAACCACUUGAUCAUCUGGGAGGUGAUGCAGCGGUUGAACUGUGUGAACAAAUGGUCCAUCAAGUCAGACAUUUGCUGCGAGGUGCUCGGAGUCAGAACUGUCAGUGCCCACUUCAGUGUGAGAUUAAUGUAAAUUGGCUCAGGCACUAACCAUUUUUCCUUC
rnacentral:lncRNA from 1 species